rnacentral:rRNA from 1 species
AUUGAACGCUGGCGGCAGGCCUAACACAUGCAAGUCGAGCGGAGCGGCGGAUGGGUGAGUAAUGCAUAGGAAUCUGACUGGGUGUGGGGGAUAACGUCCGGAAAGGGGCGCUAAUACCGAAUACUAUCAGAUGAGCCUAGGUUGGAUGAGCUAGUUGGUGGGGGAAAGGCCUACCAAGGCGACGACCCGUAACUGGUCUGAGAGGAAGAUUAGUCAAACUGGAACUGAGAAACGGCCCAGACUCCUACGGGAGGCAGCAGUGGGGAAUAUUGCACAAUGGGCGCAAGCCGGAUGCAGCCAUGCCGCGUGUAUGAAGAAGGCCUGCGGGUUGUAAAGUACUUUCAGUCGGGAGGCGUUACCGACAGAAGAAGCACCGGCUAACUCCGUGCCAGCCGCCGCGGUAAUUC